rnacentral:lncRNA from 1 species
CUUUACUGUAAUAUACCCGAGUUUUAAACCGGGUUUUAUAAUAUCCGGUAUUCAAGUAUUUUUCAUUUAUGAGAAACAGCAUUUUCGGUUUGCAAGAAUUGCGCUCUACAGCAAAAUGGAGCAAACACAAAGCGCUGAAUCUGUUGACAUUCAUGUAACUGAGCUAUUUGGCGUCCAAGUUUUGCGAAAAUAUGUCAGAAAUGAGCAAAUUACUUCUGACAAGAAACCAGGCAUUGGACUGCGCAUUUUGAAGGGAGCUUUACCAGUUUGUAUGGUUUUGUCUACCAUCAUUUGUGCUGGGCUAAUGGUAGCGAUUUUAUAUUACCCCCCUCCUUUGGUUAAUGAAUUGUUGAAAAGCAUUUUGAUGAAUGUUGGAAAAGGCAAUACUUUGGAGAAGCUCAAAAGUGCAAAUGAUAGGAUUGGGGAUUUGAAAGGGGAUAUUGAAAGAUUGACAAAAGAGGGGCUGACAAAUUUCACAAGGGAGGAGCAACUUCGUGCCAACUUGGCAACCGUCACAAAAGAAAAUGUGGCUUUAUUAACGAGGUUGUCAUCAGCUAACGAGUUAAUACGGUCGUUAAAGGAGGCAGACAUAAGAAAUCAAGUCAAAAUAGUUGAGUGCAAACAGAAUCUUGAAAUAUGCAUGAAAGAAAAACGUGGACUUCAGGAAUCGGUUUCAGAUUUGGAGAAACAAGAGUUCAAAAUAGUCGAGUGUGAACAGAAUCUUGAAAUAUGCAUGAAAGAAAAACGUGGAUUUCAGAAAUCGGUUUCAGAUUUGGAGAAACGAGAGAGAAACCUAAAGAAUGAUUUGGGAAAGUGUGAGGAAAGUGUCGAACAGUUGAAAGGUGAUAUUAAAAAGCUUCAAGAUGAAAAAGCAAUGCUAACAAAGGCGCAAAAGAAAGGUGAUGAGCUUUUACAAGAAUACGAUAAAAGCUUGAAAAAGUGUCAAAAUGAUAGCACAGCUGAAAUAGAAAGAAUUACCAAACAACUGAAUGAAACUAGCAAUUCAUUAACUUACUGUAACAAGAGCAAUGCAAACCUUACUGCAAACCUGACAACUUGCCAAUCCGAUUUGAAAGACUCAAACACAAAGUUGCAAGACUGGCAACAGAAGAAUGAAGAUUUAGAGCAAGAUAAGGAUACACUGACCAAGGAUCUAAGUGCAACAAAGUUCACUUUGGGUAAUUGUAAGAAUAAGAACAUGGAUCACGAGGUCCGAAGUUUGGAAUUGCUUCAAGAAAUUGAAGGAUUGAAAAAAGAAUUAAAAGCAUGUUAAAAUAUAUGAAACUGUUGCUUAAUUGAUACAAAAGUAUUUUACAUGAGAUUAGACAAUGUUUUCUAGCUAUUUCUAUUACAGAUAGUUUGAUAAGGAAGAUUUAAGCAGCCCUCCUUGAAUAAUAUACUAAUGAUUACAUAUAUCCUUGAUCUAUCACAUUCAACCAAGUCAACAGUUGACAAUUAUAGACUAACGAUUUUUAAUUCAUAACAUAACUCAAUUAAUGUGUUCAAUUAUUACAUAAUCAUUUCUUGUUUGUGUGUGUUCUUUUUGCACAUGUACUAUCGAGGCCAUACCUAUCUGUGCUCAGACUACCACACAGUGUUUGCAAAGGAGGGUGAUCGGGCAGGGGCAUAGCCAGCCCCAAAUGAGUGGGGGUCUAAUCAUCGAAUACACAGAACAACUAGGGCCAUCUGGGCCAUGGUCCCCUGGAAAUUUUGUCUAUUUUUAGGGUCUGCAAAAUGCUAUUUCAUGCAUGUUAGACAUGUAUUAUG